rnacentral:lncRNA from 1 species
GGCAGAUAAAAAGAGAUGAUAGAGUAAGCACUUGCAGAUAGCUUUCUCAAGAGCCACCGCGGCGUUCCCUGAUGAGGAACGAACUAUUCUCCAGGUAGUAUGGUUAUCAUUAUUCAGGCCACCCUAUUCUCCAUGCAUCGGAUCCGCCUCUCCUUGUCUUGACAGUAACAGUAAUUGGCAGAAUUCUAUUAUUAAUUGUCUCCAGGUAGUAUGGUUAUCAUUAUUUAAGCCACCUGAUCAAGAUGUCUGGUCUUUUUCCAAAAUUUCACUUGGCAACGUAAUUGUCUAGAUAUUCAGUGUUGUUACAUGGUUCAGUUUAGUGUGUAAUUAUAACAACUGCUCCAGAAAACCGCUGCUGACAAACUUUAAACCGUAUCUAUCUAUCUAUUUAGAAAAAAUCUACAUAACCCCCAAACUAAAUCUAUAUAACCCCAAACUAUUUAGGAUGGACUACUUCACUCCCCGAAAUAUAAAACUGUAUAUCCUACCACUUGAACUUUUAAAGCCGGUCAAAUUAAUAACCCUCGAGUGGUUUUGGAUGGUGGUUUUGUCUUUUUUCUUUUUUAUUUAUUUCCGUUGAAUAUUUGAAAAAAUCAUAAUAAAUAAAAAAAUCAUAAAAUAAAAAAAAUCAAUUUUGUUGGACUCUUAGUGAGUAGAUCUACACAGUGAAUAUAGAAUAUGGUAUACUUUAGUACAAAGUUUUCGCUGUAGCUUUAAAUCUAUGUUUUUCUGUAAUUACUUCAAAUAAUUCAUAUAUGUAGUUUCUAUGGUUCAAUUGUGGUAAAAUUUUUAUGACGGACUCAUUAUUAUAUGCUUGAACUAUGAUAAAAGUUUCGUACCCAUUGGAUCAUGUAUAACUUAGUUGU